rnacentral:siRNA from 1 species
GUUUUAGAUGUGUACAUAGUGAA